rnacentral:pre_miRNA from 17 species
AUGACUCAACCGAUCACAGCUUCUACACUGAGUGUAUUUGACAAGCUGAAUUCAGACACUCAAUUCAAAACAGUGUCAGUUUGUCAAAUACCCCAAGUGCAGAGCUGAAAAGCAUCUAGAAAAGCA